rnacentral:rRNA from 1 species
GACGAACGCUGGCGGCGUGCUUAACACAUGCAAGUCGAACGGAGAAUUAGCAAUAAUUCUUAGUGGCGAACGGGUGAGUAACGCGUAGACAACCUGCCUCAAAGAUGGGGACAACACCGCGAAAGUGGUGCUAAUACCGAAUGUGCAGAUAAGGCCUCCUGGUCUUGUCUGGAAAGGUGGCCUCUAUUUAUAAGCUACCGCUUUGAGAUGGGUCUGCGUCUGAUUAGCUAGUUGGUGAGGUAACGGCUCACCAAGGCGACGAUCAGUAGCCGGUCUGAGAGGAUGAACGGCCACACUGGGACUGAGACACGGCCCAGACUCCUACGGGAGGCAGCAGUGGGGAAUCUUCCGCAAUGGACGAAAGUCUGACGGAGCAACGCCGCGUGAGUGAAGAAGGCCUUCGGGUUGUAAAGCUCUGUCUUCAGGGACGAAUGUGCAAUAGGUGAACAAUCUAUUGUAAUGACGGUACCUGAGGAGGAAGCCACGGCUAACUACGUGCCAGCAGCCGCCGCCG